rnacentral:rRNA from 1 species
UACGUAGGGGGCAAGCGUUGUCCGGAUUUAUUGGGCGUAAAGAGCUCGUAGGCGGUUCGGCAAGUCGAAUGUGAAAUCUCCACGCUCAACGUGGAGGGGUCAUUCGAUACUGCCGUGACUUGAGUACGGUAGGGGAGUGUGGAAUUCCCGGUGUAGCGGUGAAAUGCGCAGAGAUCGGGAGGAACACCCGUAGCGAAGGCGGUACUCUGGGCCGAUACUGACGCUGAGGAGCGAAAGCGUGAGGAGCGAACAGG